rnacentral:hammerhead_ribozyme from 1 species
AUCCAGCUGAUGAGCUCCAAGUAGGACGAAACGCGCUUCCUGAAU